rnacentral:lncRNA from 1 species
GCUUUUAACACAUGGGAGUGAAUUAUUAUUCUCUGAUGUGAAUAAAACUCUCAGCUGGAGCAGUGUGUAAAGUACUAAGUAUCAUCCUUGCGGGAAUGUGAAGGAUAUCCAGAAGAAAAGAAAUCCAACAGGUUUGGAAAACAGUGAAAAUCAUGAAAGAAUUCCACUCUGAUAAUUCAUACUAUUUCAGCCUGAGGCUGCCAAAUCCACCUGGACAUAUCCACAUUUUAGGAUCAAUUGUGAGGUAUAAAUCAAUGAGAACUCAGUUCAGUUCAUAUAUCUUCUACUUCCAUUUGACUCAUGAGCUUCAGGAGAAAAAAGGGAAAACCUUCUCUUCUUUGAGUUCUUCAAAAGCAGUACUCUCCAAAUUAUCCCAAAACCCUAGGAUUUGGGCCAUCAGUCAACAUUUCAACCAUAACUUGUCUCUUGGGAACACUUUAUUGCAAAUGGGAUUAAGGAUAUUUUCCUCUUGUCUUGGUUCUAGAAGACAGGUGUCUGCUAGGGAGAGCAGGAGCCUCCCUUGGGAUGAAAGAAUGUAGACCCCCUCCCUCCAAAUUAUUAUAAAUUUGAAAUCAAGGGGGCUUUCAGGCAGAGAUCUGGAGAUAGGAAUAACAGUUCUUUACUAGUAUAACCAGGCAAACAAACAAACAAUAACUACAGCAAUAACAAGAAAACAGAAACAGGGACCCCGGGACAGCCUUCUCGGCUGAGAUGGGAUGGAGGAGAGGCUUUGUUUUCACAAACCCCUCGGGCAGUCAGUCCCGGUGCUCCUGCAGGGCUCUGAGGAACGCUUGGAACAGCAGGGAUGAGCUGAGAUCCUGGGCCGGUGGCUGAGGUGGAUCAGCAGCUCUGAGACAGUGGCUGGCACUGCCACACGUCCCGGCAGGACAGGGGGUGCGAGGCCACCAACAGAGGGGAGAAGGAGAAGAAGCAGCCGCUCCGUCUGGGUGAUGGUGAAAUUCCCUUCUCUCCACAGCAGCAGCUCCGUGACCCAGCACACGAACGUCCUUCCCCGAAACCGAAGAAAAACCAGCCCAAAAACUGUCCCCACCCUCCUUUUCUGCCCCCUUCCCCCCCUGGGCCCGGCCACUCACUGUCCGUUGUGAGCACCCCUAUGUACCGGUAGUUAGGUUGUCCCAGCACAUAAUGGGUAAAAAUUCCCCGGGCAGGCCAGAAGGACAAAACAAAAAAAAAGGACACCUAACCCUCAACACCUCUUUAAAACUGCAUACCUAGUGAGCCAGGGUAAAUAUCCCAGCAUGGUCUGAAGCACCCAUGUGUGCAGUCCCACAGCUGCAAAUUGCUCACUAGUAGAUUGAGGUAAGGUGCUUAAUAAUGGAGCUACACUCCUGCCUUACAUAGCUGAUGGAAGCCCUUUUCCAAUUGUGUUGUAAAUGUUUUUGUCAGAAAUACACGCUCUGUGUUGUUAUAGAAAGAGGGAGACCCCAAUGGGAUGUAAAACUUACUUGUACUAAAUGUCGUGGGGGACUGGGUUCUGUUUAGCAACUUCUCUUUUUGCCCUGCAGCACUUUGUCACCC